UACGUAGGGUCCAAGCGUUGUCCGGAUUUAUUGGGCGUAAAGAGCUCGUAGGCGGUUCCGUAAGUCGGAUGUGAAAACUCGGGGCUCAACCCCGAGACGCCAUCCGAUACUGCGGUGACUUGAGUCUGGUAGGGGAACACGGAAUUCCUGGUGUAGCGGUGAAAUGCGCAGAUAUCGGGAAGAACACCCGUGGCGAAGGCGGCUCUCUCGGGACGGUACUGACGCUGAGACGCGAAAGCGUGGGGAGCGAACAGG
rnacentral:rRNA from 1 species